UAUAUUUAAUUUUCCAGUACUCCCCAUGUGUGGAUUAAGAGAGAGAGAGGAACCGACCUAUUUCAUUUUUCCUUCUUAAAAAAAAGAUAGAGUUGUGUUUCCUCCCUCCAAAACCUUCUUCCUCCUCCAUCUCCAUUCUCCACAACCCAAAUUAAAGAAGAUGACAAUAUUCAUGUUCCUAAUCAUCUCACCUCUCUAAUCAACCAAUUAGAUGUUUGUUUUGAGAAACCUCGCCAUCGACCACCAUUCUUCUUUUUCCGGCAGCCGCAGUUGAAAACGAAGGUUGAGAGACAUUUUCAAGCCCUCGUUAGUUCAAGCUCUUUGACUAACUAAAUAGAUUUUGAUUCGAGUACUUUGCGUCGUUUUCUUCUUCUCCACCGCGAGACACUGCGCCGGAUUCUUCUCAGGCAGCUGCAGGUUCACCUUCUCUUAGGCGUUUUUCAAUGGCUCUAUUUUACUAGUAUGGGAUGGUUAAUCAUUUAUCAACUGGUUAUUGUUAUACUUUCAGCUUGCAAAAUGAUUGGAAGUUUUUGUUGAUGAUAUUUUUUCUUAAGAUUUGGCCAUGAGAUGGUGACUUCAAAUAGCUAAGGAGUUGAAAAUGUAGAGAUUAUUGUUGUGCAUUCACUUUGUACACUUUCUGGUUUUGUUUUGAAUUUAGGUAGAUUGUUGUGAAUUUGUGAUGCAACAAGUUCUAAUAUUGUUUACUAUAUUCAUGGUUACUUUAAGUUCUUGCAUUAUUUUGUAGCUUGUUGUUUCUUUUUUAUAACAAUUAAUAAAAAAGAAGUUAUAGUUGUUCUGGAUGAAA